ensembl:snoRNA Gm55104 predicted gene, 26090
UCGCUCUGCUUCUCUUCCCCAACAGAUCUGGAUGCUGGGGUUGGCGGGAGUACAAGAGGAACAGUACAUUGAAGGCGUCCUCAGAGUGUACUCUAGUGUACAGCAUAGGGCCAGCUUCAAGCAAGC